rnacentral:lncRNA from 1 species
AAAAACAAGCCUUCCAAUCAUCAUCCUCCAUUUGGCCUUGUUGGGAAUGGGUAGAUAAGUGAAGACGUUGUGUUUUUGUCUUCAUUUUCACUUGUCUUCUUCCAGAAACGACCAGACCAAUUUACUUAAGCUUCUCUUCAUAUUUCUUCACUUCCAUACUCACAUAAGAGAACAUCAAACUAUAAAAACUCAUAGAAGUAGAGCUAGAACAAGUUCUGCACCUUCUCUAGCUGAAAAUCCUACGUUUUGAAGUUUGAAUUCAUCUCUAAUCAAGGACUCUAGAACAACCUAUAUGAGAAUGAUCUUUUCACUUCAUACACCAUAUUGAACUUGAGGUAAGUUGAAGCAUUCAUUUGCUCAUCAUAAGAACCUAAUUAUGUGUGCUUUAAUGUGACUUUUGCUACGUUUUCUUCACCAUGUUUGAAUGAUUGAUGAGUCAUAGGGAUAUGAAAGAAUAUGUUUUAGAAAAUGGGAGUAUGGUACUUGAUUGAUGGUCGGGUAGGCAAGGGACGCGGGAGGGACCGGCGGACCCAACACAUGGUGGCAAAUACCUGAGGUUGAAAGACUAGUAUGGAAAACACACAAUUAAUGAAAUAAAAUACGGCUAAAACCUGAGGUCGAAAGGCCGGUAUUGAAACCCCGUAUUAUCUAUUGGCCAAAUAUGAUGAACAGGUUCCGAAAACCAAAGCCUAUUGCUAUCAGUCAAGUACCAACCUUCAAGGGUACCCGAAAAAGAGAAGGAUUUCAAAAGAAAAGAUCAUGAAUGAAGUUAUAUGUGAUAUUGUGUAUGUUGAGAGAAUAACGUGUUAUGUGAUAUAUUGCUAUUACAUC